GAUGAACGCUGGCGGCGUGCCUAAUACAUGCCAGUCGAGCGAACAGAUAAGGAGCUUGCUCCUUUGACGUUAGCGGCGGACGGGUGAGUAACACGUGGAUAACCUACCUAUAAGACUGGGAUAACUUCGGGAAACCGGAGCUAAUACCGAAUAACAUAUUGAACCGCAUGGUUCAAUAGUGAAAGGCGGCUUUGCUGUCACUUAUAGAUGGAUCCGCGCCGUAUUAGCUAGUUGGUAAGGUAACGGCUUACCAAGGCAACGAUACGUAGCCGACCUGAGAGGGUGAUCGGCCACACUGGAACUGAGACACGGUCCAGACUCCUACGGGAGGCAGCAGUAGGGAAUCUUCCGCAAUGGGCGAAAGCCUGACGGAGCAACGCCGCGUGAGUGAUGAAGGUCUUCGGAUCGUAAAACUCUGUUAUCAGGGAAGAACAAAUGUGUAAGUAACUGUGCACAUCUUGACGGUACCUGAUCAGAAAGCCACGGCUAACUACGUG
rnacentral:rRNA from 1 species